rnacentral:snRNA from 1 species
GGAUGUGAGGGCGAUCUGGCUGUGACAUCUGUCACCCUAUUGAUCACCAGGGUUGAUUCGGCUGACCUGGCUGGCUAGGUGGGUGUCUGCUUCCUCCCUCACCGCUCCAUGUGCGUCCCUCCUGAAGCUGCACACUUGGUCAAAGAGGACGACCUUCCCCGAUAGAGGAGGAUAGAGGAGGACCGUUCUUCGGUCAAGGGUAUACGAGUAGCCUCGCUCCCCUGCUAGAACCUCCAAACAAGCUCUCAUAAAGUUUGUCAGGAGCUAGGAGCCAGGGGAGGCAAGAAUCCCUGUAGCAAACGACUAAAUAGUUGGUUAAUGGUGGUGUAGC